AACUAAMCCGACCUACCAUUUUCAACCCGGUUGCCCGGGUAGGCCUGUCGGAUACCCCGAAUUGAUUUUCGAGGCUGGACGACCGGGUNUNCCACCAACMUUAAACCCUUUUUUGAUGAUYUAGGAUUUGAAGGAAGUUCCUUUUACAAUGGAACCGACUGGUAAUGCGGYYGUUUAAAUUUAAAAAAAAAUAACUUUUGGCAACGGAUCUCUUGGUUCUCCCAUCGAUGAAGAACGCAGCGAAUUGCGAUAAGUAAUGUGAAUUGCAGAAGUGAAUCAUCGAAUCUUUGAACGCACCUUGCGCUCCCGGCAGAUCUAAUCUGGGGAGCAUGCCUGUUUGAGGGCCGCGAAUUGUUUCGAACGGACGCGUUUUUCCUUUUGCGAAAAAAGGUGGACGGAUCGGUAGUGAGGAUUUUUGCCAUUCACUGUGGCUUCCUCGAAAUGCAUGAGCGCAUCCAUUUAAUAGGCGAGACGGACGAAGGCUUGUAUUUUUCGCUCUGUUCUUUCCUGCCGGGUUUUGAUAAUAUCGAAGCUUCGGAGGUCAAAGACAGGGUUCGAGCUGGACGCAACGACUCGCUGGUUGGAGUGCUUCUAACCCCGCCCAUGCCUGCAAAGGAAGGGAUUUUAAUUCGAUUCAUCGGCCUCAGAUUGGUAGGACUACCCGCUGAACUUAAGCAUAUCAAUAAGCGGAGGAAAAGAAACUAACAAGGAUUCCCCUAGUAACGGCGAGUGAAGAGGGAAGAGCCCAAGAUUGAAAGCUGGCGUCUUCGGCGUCCGCAUUGUAAUCUCAAGAAGUGUUUUCCGCUUCGGACCAAGCCUAAGUCCCUUGGAAAAGGGCAUCAUAGAGGGUGAUAAUCCCGUACAUGGCUUGGAGCGCCCGUAGCUUUGUGAUACACUUUCUAAGAGUCGAGUUGUUUGGGAAUGCAGCUCAAAAUGGGUGGUAAAUGCCAUCUAAGGCUAAAUAUUGGGGAGAGACCGAUAGCGAACAAGUACAGUGAUGGAAAGAUGAAAAGAACUUUGAAAAGAGAGUUAAACAGUACGUGAAAUUGCCAAAAGGGAAGGGUAGGAGGUCACUGAUGCUUCCUGGGAAUUUAUUCCCAGAUUGCAGGCCAACGUCGGUUUUGGGCACUGGAGAAGGGUAGGAGGAACGUGGCACCCCUCGGGGUGUGUUAUAGCCUCUUACUGGAUACAGCGACCGAGACCGAGGACAGCAGCGUACUCGCAAGAGCGGGCCCUCGGGCACCUUUACGCUUAGGGCGUUGGCAUAAUGGCCCUCUACCACCCGUCUUGAAACACGGACCAAGGAGUCU
rnacentral:rRNA from 1 species